AGUGAACGCUGGCGGUAGGCCUAACACAUGCAAGUCGAACGGCAGCACAGUAAGAGCUUGCUCUUACGGGUGGCGAGUGGCGGACGGGUGAGGAAUACAUCGGAAUCUACUUUUUCGUGGGGGAUAACGUAGGGAAACUUACGCUAAUACAGCAUACGACCUACGGGUGAAAGCAGGGGAUCUUCGGACCUUGCGCGAUUGAAUGAGCCGAUGUCGGAUUAGCUAGUUGGCGGGGUAAAGGCCCACCAAGGCGACGAUCCGUAGCUGGUCUGAGAGGAUGAUCAGCCACACUGGAACUGAGACACGGUCCAGACUCCUACGGGAGGCAGCAGUGGGGAAUAUUGGACAAUGGGCGCAAGCCUGAUCCAGCCAUACCGCGUGGGUGAAGAAGGCCAUCGGGUUGUAAAGCCCUUUUGUUGGGAAAGAAAAGCAGCAGGUUAAUACCCCGCUGUUCUGACGGUACCCAAAGAAUAAGCACCGGCUAACUUCGUG
rnacentral:rRNA from 1 species